rnacentral:tRNA from 1 species
AAAGAAAUUAGGUUUAAAUUCCAAGCCGAGGGCCUUCAAAGCCCUAAAUGGGAGUAAACAACCCCCCAUUUCUUGA